rnacentral:misc_RNA from 1 species
GGAAUAUUGGUCAAUGGACGCGAGUCUGAACCAGCCAAGUAGCGUGAAGGAUGACUGCCCUAUGGGUUGUAAACUUCUUUUAUAUGGGAAUAAAGUGGUCCACGUGUGGAUUUUUGUAUGUACCAUAUGAAUAAGGAUCGGCUAACUCCGUGCCAGCAGCCGCGGUAAUACGGAGGAUCCGAGCGUUAUCCGGAUUUAUUGGGUUUAAAGGGAGCGGAGGCGGAUUGUUAAGUCAGUUGUGAAAGUUUGCGGCUCAACCGUAAAAUUGCAGUUGAUACUGGCAGUCUUGAGUGAAGUAGAGGUGGGCGGAAUUCGUGGUGUAGCGGUGAAAUGCUUAGAUAUCACGAAGAACUCCGAUUGCGAAGGCAGCUCACUGGAGUGUAACUGACGCUGAUGCUCGAAAGUGUGGGUAUCAAACAGGA